GUUUUAAUAGUUUAAUAAAAACAUUGGUCUUGUAAAUCAAAAAUAAAAAAAAAUAUUUUUUUUUAAAACU
rnacentral:tRNA from 1 species